GACGAACCGUGCGAGCGUUAUUCGGAAUCACUGGGCUUAAAGCGCGUGUAGGCGGGCGGGUACGUCGGCCACUGAAAGCCCCCGGCUCAACCGGGGAAGGGGUGCCGAAACGGCCGGCCUGGAGGGGCGUAGGGGGACCUGGAACUUCCGGUGGAGCGGUGAAAUGCGUUGAGAUCGGAAGGAACGCCCGUGGCGAAAGCGGUGUACUGGGGCUGGUCUGACGCUGAGGCACGAAAGCCAGGGGAGCGAACGGG
rnacentral:rRNA from 1 species